AGUGAACGCUGGCGGUAGGCCUAACACAUGCAAGUCGAACGGCAGCACAGUAAGAGCUUGCUCUUACGGGUGGCGAGUGGCGGACGGGUGAUGUAUACAUCGUAAUCUACUUUUUCGUGGGGGAUAACGUAGGGAAACUUACGCUAAUACCGCAUACGACCUACGGGUGAAAGCAGGGGAUCUUCGGACCUUGCUCGAUUGAAUGAGCCGAUGUCGGAUUAGCUAGUUGGCGGGGUAAAGGCCCACCAAGGCGACGAUCCGUAGCUGGUCUGAGAGGAUGAUCAGACACACUGGAACUGAGACACGGUCCAGACUCCUACGGGAGGCAGCAGUGGGGAAUAUUGGACAAUGGGCGCAAGCCUGAUCCAGCCAUACCGCGUGGGUGAAGAAGGCCUUCGGGUUGUAAAGCCCUUUUGUUGGGAAAGAAAAGCAGCAGGUUAAUACCCCGAUGUUCUGACGGUACCCAAAGAAUAAGCACCGGCUAACUUCGUG
rnacentral:rRNA from 1 species